rnacentral:lncRNA from 1 species
UUACUAAAAACACACUUUCAUAACAAAAACAUCCAAAACUUCACAUAGUAUUAAAUAUCAACCUAUCCUAACCAGCUAUAUAGUGGUUAGCUACUCAUAGAAUUAUCUAAAACACAAGAAAGCAUUGAAUACAUGAUCAGAUCUAAAAGAAAACGAUAAUAUGAAGGGUCUACCUUGGUAAGGAUCAAUAUCUCGACCUCCUGUAUGCUAUGCUUCCUUGAAUCCUUCUCCCGUUGAUCGAAUCCUGAAUCUUCCUUCUUGGAACAACCCUUUUUUCGCGUUUCUUGCUGCUUAGUUCGUAACUUAUGUCCAGGGCAGGUACGACCCGUAAGCAACUAUCGGGUGCUGCCCCUACCUCCUAUGAAGAAGGUAUCAAGAUGAAGAAGAUUUCAAGAAUUCCAAAUGUUUGAUGAUCCUUCCUUCCACCUCCUGUGGAUUGGAGAGAAAAUCUUUGGUAGCAAUUGGUGGAGAACAAGAGAAUUUACUUAGAGAAUUUGGAUGUUUGGGUUCUUGUAAAGGAGGAGGAGCACUAAUGUUU